UACGUAGGGGGCAAGCGUUGUCCGGAUUUAUUGGGCGUAAAGAGCGUGUAGGCGGCCAGGUAGGUCUGCUGUGAAAACUCGAGGCUCAACCUCGAGAUGUCGGCGGAAACCAUCUGGCUAGAGUCCGGAAGAGGAGAAUGGAAUUCCCGGUGUAGCGGUGAAAUGCGCAGAUAUCGGGAAGAACACCCGUGGCGAAGGCGGUUCUCUGGACAGUUCCUGACACUGAGACACGAAGGCCAGGGGAGCAAACGGG
rnacentral:rRNA from 1 species